UCCCAUGUCGUCUAGUGGUUAGGAUCCUGCAUUUUCAUCAGCAUUGUAACAAUGAAAACUGCAGUGGCCUGGGUUCAAACCCCAGCAUGGGAG